rnacentral:lncRNA from 1 species
CUCUAAAACGACAAUAGAUAUCUCAAAUCUGUUAAAUGAUAAAUGAUCUACAGUUGAAGGACAACAUUAUAGAAAAAAAAUUGGGACAAUUUCAAAGUUCAACAAGGUCACAAUUAAUCAUCAAAUAUAUGAUGCAAUACCAAACUUGAGAACCGGAAGUCGUAGAGACAUGGGACUAUCACCAUUCAACUCAGGACCACUUGAUCUUUCAAAUAUCACAAGGUCAAGGUCAUAGUAUAAUGUGAAGGUCAAGGUGAAAUUUCAUCAUGACCUGACAUUGAUCUCAAAUUGAAGGUCUUGAACUACUGAUCAUCUUUGCAGUUUAUAGUAGGUUGAUAUCUGUUACCUUUAAAAAGAUAUACACAUAAUACUAUACUUUUAAGAAUCAUCCCGUCGUAACUUUUGAACAGACAGUCGGUCUCUUUUGAGCUUAGUGUAUAAAUGUAGCCUCGUCGAGAGGAACAUUUUAUAUGCUGUAAGUAUGCAGCAAACUCUUAUCGUUUUCUUAAUAUGAAAGCUUGAAAUUGCAGCG